AAGGAUAAUCGGAAAGCGACAGGGACUUAAGUGUCAAUUUGUUUGUUUCAAAGUUUUGUUUAGUUUUGAGUGUGAUACUUUAAUAGGUAUCAUGGUCUCAAAGUGAUCCUAUGGGGAAUUAGCUCAGCUGGGAGAGCACCUGCUUUGCAAGCAGGGGGUCAGCGGUUCGAUCCCGCUAUUCUCCAUAGCUAGUCGAAAGGCUAGCAUGUUGUACAUUGAAAACUGAAUAGUAACAAAUUCUUUUAAAAGCAAUCGUAAGAUUGCACUAAAAUGAACCGAGAAACAACACAAAAAGUUCUUUAAAAAGAACGGUUUAAUCGCAGGUCUGAAAAAUGACCAACUCAUAAACUUAAACCACAACUUCGGUUGUAUAG
rnacentral:tRNA from 1 species